ACUCCAACAAGGCCAUACCUCCCCAU
rnacentral:misc_RNA from 1 species